UCCACCUGAGACAGCAAGCAAUUUGAUAUCGAUUUUAUAUGUGCAUGUAUAAUUUAAAACCUUUUCCCAUGUUAGUUAUUUUGUGGAAGAGAACUUGAAUAAAAAAAUUAAGAAAGUAAAAUAUAGUAUUGGACUUAUUUUUCUUAGAGUGACUAUAGUUAGAGGUAUAGGAUAAAUUGGGGUAGGGGAAUUGCAGAGACAUAGGUUUUGGAUUGAUAUAAGGAAAAACUUUCUCCAUAUUAUAGCUGUUCAAAAGUAGAAUGGGCUACUUUAGGUGGCGAUGGAUUCUUCUUACAAUAUACUUUCAAAUAGAGGCUGGAAAACAAUGUAUUGGCCCCACAUAGGCAUGUUCUAGAUAGUCCUUGAUGUCCCUUCCAAUUUGUAAGUUUUGCAAUUAAAAAAAACCUAAACCCUUACUUUUCAUCAUUGAAUCAAUACUGUAUAUUGAUUCCAAGUCAAAAGAGCAGUAAGGGCUAAGCAAUGGGGUUUAAGUGACUUGCUCAGGGUCACACAGCCAGAAAGUGUUGAAAUCCAGAUUUGAACUCAAGACGUCUUGUCUCUAAGCCUGUCUCUCAAUCCACUGAUCCACCUAGCUUCCCCCUGCUUCUGUGAUUUUGUAAUAUGCUCAUGUUUCAUAAAUUCAAAGCCCAGACUUGUGAGAAGCAGAGUCAGGGGGCUCAUAAAGAGGUUGCUAUAUCUGAGAUGUUACACAAAUGGAUUCCAUUGCAUUAUCACCUCAACUGUUCCCAAGACCAAUCACAAGGAUUUGUUUGGCCUGAAAACUUUUCAGACUCCUAUAACCCUGACUGUGUAGGAUUUGUCUUGGAAACUUGUUGAUUUAUGUGAGAAGAUGAAAAACCAGAAUGGUGAAGAGCAGUGGGGGUAUAAGGCAGAAAUUUCUCUUGGAAUAGGGACAGAGUUCAUGGAUGAAACAGAAUGCUCUUCCAUGGGGAGUAAUUGGCAGCAAGAAGCAGUCUUCUAUUAGAUACUGUGAGCCAAGAAAGAUAUUCCACCCACAUGUCACUGAAUGAGCACACCAGAACAUCUGUAGCUCAGAGGAUGGGAACUAUUCUACACAGUUUAUCAGCGAUAAACAUUUCAUGGAUACAUCUAUAGUUGGGAAGCUUGAACUGCCACUGAUCCCCAUCAGGAGCCCUUGAAGCUGUGCUUUUGACUGCAUGGACCUUGCCACAAUACUUCAGUUAAAUUCUCCCCCUGGAAAAUUCAUCAUCAUUGAAGCCUUCUCCACCUUGAACAUCCAUCAGAACCUGGAGACCACCAUGGAAUAUCCCUCUGCUCUUCCAGCCCUCUUCAUCCUUUGCUACUGGCAAAUACAAUCUACUGAAGUGUGAAGAGAGUGGAAUGUGCUAAUGAAGGAAGUACCUGUGCCAAUGCUGUCUCACAUCUUUUGAAAUGAGUCAUCUGAGUUCCAGAAAAACAAGUAAGCAAGUCUGCUCCUUUGGGCUAGAAAAGUGGUAUGAGUUAGCCUACGCUCUGAGACCAGAAGCUGUAGGGCUGCUAAGACUGCUAAGCAAGUGUCCAGGAAGAAAUGAAGGCACAAGGUCUUCCCAGUUCUCUAGGGCCAAGACAAGCAGGGAAAUUAACCUUUCUUCCUCACUCCCUUCUAUGAAACCCAAUUUUGAUUCUUUUACCUGAGAUAAGUGGUAUAAGCUUUGUUUUUAGCCUAAACCAAACUUU